GGAGGGGACAGCUCGGUGGUAGAGCACAUGCCUAGCAUGCAUGAGGUCCUGGGUUCAAUCCCCAGCACCUCCA
rnacentral:tRNA from 1 species